UAUGACCACAUCAUAUUGAAACACCAGUUCCCAUGCAAUCACUGAAGUUAAGCAACAUCGAGCCUGGUCAGUAUGUAGAUGGGUGACCACUUGGUAAUACCAGGGGCUGUAA